rnacentral:rRNA from 1 species
CCUACGGGAGGCAGCAGUGGGGAAUAUUGGGCAAUGGGCGCAAGCCUGACCCAGCAAUGCCGCGUGAAGGAAGAAGGCUUUCGGGUUGUAAACUUCUUUGACAGGGGAAGAGCAGAAGACGGUACCCUGCAAACAAGCCACGGCUAACUACGUGCCAGCAGCCGCGGUAAUACGUAGGUGGCAAGCGUUGUCCGGAUUUACUGGGGGUAAAGGGCGUGUAGCCGGGAAGGCAAGUCAGAUGUGAAAGCCGGAGGCUCAACCUCCGAAUUGCAUUUGAAACUGUUUGUCUUGAGUACUGGAGAGGCAGACGGAAUUCCUGGUGUAGCGGGGAAAUGCGUAGAUAUAAGGAGGAACACCAGUGGCGAAGGCGGUCUGCUGGACAGCAACUGACGGUGAGGCGCGAAAGCGUGGGGAGCAAACAGGAUUAGAUACCCGUGUAGUC